UUCUGUGAAUUGAGGGCUGGAGCGCUCCACCGGUAACUCCUCCUCCUCUUCCCUUUCCCUCCUCCCUCCUCUCCGUAGCCCCCAGAGCACGGGGCAGGGGAGCGCUGCGCGCAGCUGGAAACGGCUCCGCAGGGCGGCCGGGCUGGGAGCUGCCCGCCGUGAGGCGCCUGCCCUAUUUCUGCCGCGGGGAGGUGGUGAAGGGCUUCGGCAGAGGCUCCAAGGAGCCGGGCAUCCCCACCGAGGCACUCAUUUCAGCAGUUCAAGAAGACACUGAAGAGGCAAAAAGACAGCUAGAUUUACCAGAACAUCUUAAACUCAAAGACAACAACUUCUUUCAUCUGCUAGAAGGCAAAAGAGUAAACCACUAAGCAAAACCAUGUGGGUUUUUUUUCAUCUCUUGGAGCUCUUUUCUUUACACUACCAUGUAUCCUGUAUCAUUUGAUAUAUGUAUGACGUGUGUGUGUACUGGGCCUGGCUGGGAUGGAGUUAAUUUUCUUCAUAGCAGCUCAUAUGGUGCUGUGUUUUACAUUUGUGACCAAAACAAUGAACAUAACACACUAAUGUUUUACCUAUUCCUGAACUGUACUUGCACAGCAUCAAGGCCUUCUCUGUUUCUCACUCUGGUCCCCCAGUGCAUAGAUUGGGGCUGUGCAAGAGGUUGGGAGGGGACACAACCAGACAAAUGACCUGAACUAACCAGAGAUAUUCCAAGCCAUAUGAUGGUCAUGCUGAGCAAUAAGACGGAGAGGAGGAUGUUUAGGGCGGUUAGCCAUCUUUUGUUUGGGAACAUCUUUUGUUUGGCUGAGCAUCAGUUUAUCCAUGGGAGGUGGUGAGUGAUUGCCUUUGCAUCACUUGUUUUAUUUUCUUUUUUUCUUCUUCCACUUCUCCUUCACUUGUUAAUCUAUUUUUAUCUUGACCCACAAAUUUUCUUGCUUUUAUUUAUCCAAUCUUCUUUCCCUGUCCCACUGCGGGGGUUUGGGGAAGUGAGCUAGUGGCUGUAUGCUGCUUAGCUGCCUACUGGGGUUAUCAUGCAACAACAUGUUUAGGUAAUUGUGAUUGGAACUGAACACUAAAACCACACAAGAUUAUUUAAGUUUGUUUAUGUUACCUGAUUAUUUAACCAGUCUGUAAAAGGAAUAGAAGGCUGUUUUAGGUCUUUAGAGAAAAAUCAUGAAUUUGAAUGUUACCAAUCAUUUAGAGAUCUUAGCAUUUGUGGAACAAGACCAAAGGUAGUUGUGACCUCUUCUGCCCCUAAGGUGUGGAGAGUUAAAUACUUCAGUGAAGACUGUCAGUGUUUCAGACAGAGAAUAUUAUUCUAAACUCUUUUCCCAAUUUUAUGUCAGUCUUACAUUUGGAUUGUAGGUAGCAGCUUAGAAAAUUUUUAUGUUGAUUGGUCAAAAAUUUACCUGUGGUGCAAGAAGCCAAUGAUUAGAUAACAGUAACAAGAAUAAUUCAUUAUAGUUCCUAUUUUUCAUAUGCUGUACAGCUGUUGCGGUUGUAGCUGUUAUUUUAAUUGAAAUUGUUUAUUGUAAUUUUAAUUGAAAUAGAGGAAAUGACUGUUACUCAUUGAGUUACUGGAAUGUGAGAUAGAUACUUCUACCUAGUUGACUGUGCAUAUGACAACACAUAACUUGUGUAGCUCCCUUCUGAGGAAGUGUUUCACUAAAGCUCAGGAAGUGAAUGACAGGGAGAAAGUUGGUACAUUGCAAAAGUUCAGGCUUAAAGGGUGCAGAACCAGUCUAACAAUAUUUCUGCUCUUUGGGCCCAAAGGCAGAGGAGGUAACUAAAGGCAACUGCAUUUUGGUUGCUGCUGGCAGCUGCCUGGAUUGUUCACUAUACUGACAGCAAAAUCAAUGACUUUAAAGUUGAAGUUAGAAUGUAAGGCACAGGAAAAUCCUUUCAACCCUCUGCACUAAAUGCAGGUAAGAUCCAAAUUUUUGGCUGCAGAUUAGAGAAAGUCUUUGGAGAUCAAGUCAUGUCAGUCAGAUGAAGUCUCUAGUGACUGGAAAAGGGAAACAUUGCACCCAUUUUUAGAAAGGGUAGAAAGGAGGACCCUGGGAACUACCGACCUGUCAGCCUCACCUCUCUGCCUGGGAAGAUCAUGGAACAGAUCCUCCUAGAAGCUAUGCUAAGACACAUGGAGGACAGGGAGGUGAUUCGAUGCAGCCAGCAUGGCUUCACCAAGGGCAAAUUGUGUUUGACCAACCUAGUGGCCUUCUAUGAUGGAGUGACCACAUCAGUGGACAAGGGAAGAGCUACAGAUAUCUGUCUGGACUUCUGUAAGGCCUUUGACACAGUCCCCUACAAUAUCCUUCCUUCUAAGUUGGAGAGAUACAGAUUUGAUGGAUGGACUAUUCGGUGGAUGAGGAAUUGGUUGGAUGGUUGCAUCCAGAGGGUAGUGGUCAAUGGCUCAACAUCCAGAUGAAGAUUGAUGACAACUGGUGUCCCUCAGGGGUCUGUAGUGGGACCAGUACUGUUUAAUAUCUUCACACAUGACAUAGACAGUGGUAUUGAGCACAGCCUCAGAAAGUUUGCAGAUGACACCAAGCUGAGAGUGCAGUUGACAUGCCUGAGGGACAGGAUGCCAUCCAGAGGGACCUGGACAAGCUCAAAAAGUGGGCCCAUGGGAACCUCACGAGGUUCAGCAAGGCCAGGUGCCAGGUCCUGCAGCUGGGCUGGGGCAACCUCUGUGUCGUGGUUUAAGCCCAGCCAGCAACUAGGCACCAUGCAGCUGCUCGCUCACUCCCCUUCCUGCUGCUGGAAUGAGGAGGAGAAUCGGAAACAAAAAAGUUAAAACCUGUGGGUUGAGAUAAGAAUGAUUGAAUAACUAAAGUAAAAUAAAAUGUAAUACUAACAAUAAUAAUAAUAAUAAUAAAGGAUAAUAAUUGUAAUGAAAAGGAGUAUCAUAAAAUAAAAUAAAAAAAAAACCAAGAAAAGACAAGUGAUGCAUAGUGCAGUUGCUCACCACCUGCUGACUGAUGCCCAAGCAGGGAUGUGGCCAACUCCCCCCAGUUUAUGUACUGAGCAUGAUGUUCUAUGGUAUGGAAUAUCCCUUUGGCUAGUUUGGGUCAGCCGUCCUGGCUGUGUUCCCUCCCAGCUUCUUGUACACCUGCUUGCUGGUAGAGUAUGGGAAACUGAAAAAUCCUUAACUUAGGAUAAAGCUCUGCUUUGCAAGAACUAAACCAUCAGUGUGUUAUCAACAUUAUUUGCACACUAAGUCCAAAACAGAACACUGUACCAGCUACUAAGAAGAAAAUUAACUUUAGUCCAGCUGAAAUGAGGACACCCCGGUAAUAAUACAGUCUGAGGGAUGAAGGGAUUGAGAGCAGCCCUGCAGAGAAAGACUUGGUACUGGUGGAUGAAAAGCUGGACAUGAGCCAGCAAUGAGUGCUUGCAGGCCAGAAGCCCAGCUGUAUCCUGGGCUGCAUCAAAAAAACUGUUGCCAGCAGGUCGAGGGAGGUGAUUCUCCCCCUCUACUCUGCUCUGGUGAGACCCCACCUGGAGUACUGCGUGCAGCUCUGGAGCCCCCAGCACAAGAAAGACAUGGACCUGUUGGGGUGGGUCUAGAGGAGGGCCGCAAAGAUGAUCAGAGGGAUGGAAGACCUCUCCUAUGAAGAAAGGCUGAAAGAGUUCAUGUUGUUCAGCCUGGAGAAGAGAACAUUCCAGGGACACCUUGUUGCAGCCUUUCGGUCCUUAAAGGGGGCUUAUAAGAAAGACGGGGACAAACUUUUUGGCAGGACCUGUUGCAAUAGGACAAGGGGUAAUGGUUUUAAACUAAAAUAGGGUAGAUUUAGACUAGAUAGAAGGAAGAAAUUUUUUAUGAUGAGGGUGGUAAGACACUGGAACAGGUUGCCCAGCGAGGCAGUAGGUGCCCCAUCCCUAGAAACAUUCAAGGUCAGAUUGGAUGGGGCUUUGAGAAACCUGUUCUAGUGGAAGAUGUCUCUGCUUAUUGCGGGGGGGUUGGACUAGGUGAUCUUUAAAGGUCCCUUCCAACCAAACCGUUCUAUGAUUCUUGGAAUAGUAUAUCAGCACUUUAGUAGAUACUGAGUAUUUAUUACAAGUUAUUGAGGCCUUUCCCACUCUGAAAUGUUUGCACAAGGUAUGUUGUCAAGAUUGAUAGUAAUUUGGAAAAUAUUUAUUAAAAUUAUGUAGUAUGUAUGUAUAUAUAUAGUGUGUGUGUGUGCUUCCAAAUCUACCCCCCCACCCCAGUACAAUUUUAUGAAUUUCCUCCUUGUCCCAUCCCAUUCUGAUCCUGCAUUUCACUGUGUGUUUCAGAGACCUCUGUCAAUGUAGCCUUAUGGAAAUUCUCUGUGGUGGGCGCUGUCAGCCUGCCAGGUUUCUAGUUCAUAAUGUUUUAACUUGCAGCCAAUCUCAUUGAGUAUUUGGGAGAAGGCCUUGGGCAAGUCAAGGAGUCCUGGUAGCUCUGCAGGACUUCAGCCGAAACUUGAUUAUUCAGAUGAAUUGCUCAUCAGUCCUGUUGAUGGCAAAGACAGAAGGGAUAUACACCUUUUGAGGGAGGAAAGAGUGAUUUCUGUGAAAGCACUGAUUAGAAUAAGCAGCAUUUUGACCUAUGUUGCUAAGGUUGUUUAUAAAUUUAACUCUCCAAAGACAUUGACAGUUUUGGCUUAACUGUUGUCUGGACAUUUUCAGCACACUUUGGCUUUUCUAGUAGGAAAAUAUUUCAAGAAAAUGAAUGUACAUGGUAUCAGAAAUACUUUUUUAAAAAGCAAACAAACAAACAAACAAAACAAAAAACAAAACCCCAAACCAGUUUAAUGGACUUUUACUGUAUGCAUGUUGGAAACCUGUACAAAAAUUUUCUUGAAAGUGAGUUGUUUUUUUCUCCACUUCAAAAUUGAGGGAUGAUGUGAGAAUUUUUUCAACUUUUUUUUUUCCCAGUAUAGGGAGGCAUUCUUGAGUAUAUAACAAUGUCAAGGUCUUACUUUUUGUUUUACUUUUCUGGAAGAACAAAUAGUAGCCAUGUUAGUAAAUGUCAUAUAUUGUCAAGAACUUAUUUAAAGAAUAAAUCUUUAUUGAUUGUGGUAUUAUAGCUAAGUUCAUAGCUGCCUUUUAAAAUUAUUUUUUGCCAGUGACUUCAUGUGUGUCACAAAAUGGAGUGGUUUGAACUGCUUAAAGAAUCACCUUCAAGGGUAUUAGCAAAAAUGAUUUAAUAGGAAUUUAUAAAAGCAUGACCUCACAGAAUUCGAUGGUAAGGUUCACUCUGUUACUUAAUACAUGGAUGAAACGUACACGGGAAAAUUAAGUCAGAAUCAAACUAAAAUUAUGUAUACAGAGACCAAAGAUGCAAUAGGGUAAAAGAGAAACAUACAAAGGAAGAUCGAGUUAGAAUUGAUUUCUGAUGAUUUGUACAGAGAUCAGGAAUGUAAAAAGAUAAGAGAGACCCUCCUGUUGAGUCACAAGGUUCAGAGAAGAUCCCCUUGCUUUCUAAACUCGUGAUGGAGCUUGGGUGUGGCUGGAUCCAAUCCUAGUCCCAGACUUGGGAAACGGUUUAUGUCUAAUGGAAUACAAAAAGAUAAGGGAGACCCUCCUGUUGAGUCACGAGGUUCAGAGAAGACCCCCUUGUUUCCUAAACUCCUGUUGGAGCUUAAGUGCCGCUGGAUCAACUCCUAGUCUCAGACUUAGGCAACGGUUUAUGUCUAAAGGGAUUAUAAUAGGAACCUGAGAUUUAUUCACAAUUGAAUAAAAUUCACGACAGUGACUUAUGUAUAGAUUAAUAUACUUGCUAUGGAAUAUUCAGGUUAGUACACACACACAUGCACAAAGACACUGAGGGAUAUACAUGUAAGCAAGUAAAAGAGAUAUACCUGUUAAAAACUCCCCUCAAGUUCAGUGAAACUAUUCACGUCAAAUGCUUCAGCAUCUUUCUCAACAGGCGAAGGAUUGAGCCUCAAGGAGCAAAGAGCAUCAGCCCAAGUCCCAUUCGCUUUUGGCGGCAGACCUCCGAUCUUCGCAAACUGAAGAGUUUGUGAGCUCUGAGAGGCGUCCCAGUCAGAGGGAGAUGCUGGUCGCAGCCUGCUGUGGUCCAGGAGAGCUCAAAGGGUCUCAGUACCGCUGUUCAUGGGUUCGGGAGAUGAUUGGCUUUAGUCAUCAGCAAAUUACUGGGAUUCCAGUAGCACUGGCACCAUUUCACAAGUGACGAUUCAGAUAAGGAAGGCUCCAAGGCUGUCAGAGAAUGACUAAAGACUCAGAUACAGGAUGGUCCAAGGCUGUCAGGAGAGGACUGAGAUCUGUCCCAAGGUUGUCAGGAAAUGACUAAUUAUCCCUACUCCCGUAGCCAGCCUCCGCCAGGCAACAGGAGUCUUUAGUACGGUCAGUGCAGCUCCCUGUGUUAGCCACGCAAGAGUUCCUGGUACGGUCAAGGGACGCUUAACCGCCCAACUCAUUACGCUUAUGCUAAGGCCUAAUGAGACUUCCCGAGUUCAUAGAUCAGCCCAGAGAGGGGGGAAGGAAUGCACCACCACAGUGUGUCUGCUGUGGAAAUCAUAGUGCCCCCAGCUGGUUGUCUUAGUAAUACUAUUCUGUAACUGCUAAUGAAUGCUACUAUCCAAAAUUCAUUUCAUCAUUUGGUUUUAAAACCACUAUGCUUGAGGAUAGAGAACAGUAGAAAACUUGAGAAACUUAGUUCACAGCUCUCACGUGACGUGUGAAGUAUGUAUACAGUAAAGUAAUAAACUGCUGUUUGCAUAUUUGCCUUCAAGUUAGAGAAAAUGUGAUUGCAUGCAUUCGGCUAAGUGUACCUGUCUCUGCACAUUAUUUAAUAUCAAAUAUUAUAUAUCGAUUUUUAAGUUCAAUACAUGAUUCCUAGCACAGUAUAAACUUUAUGAAGGGUUAUUUUUUUGUAUUAUGUGCAAAUAACUAUUUCAAUUUAUAUUGUGACACUGUACCACUAAUAAAGAAUGUAACUGAGAAAGUAGCGAUGCUGCUUAUCACAGGUUUUCUGAUUGAUUGUAUUAUAUGUGAUCCAAAUAAUCUGUGCAUAUUCCUUAGCAAAUACUGAAAUAGGUGCUGCAGAGUUCUUUCAUUAUGGUGCUUAAACUUCUUUUAGUUUUGGGAGGGGGGGAGAAUUGUUCUUGCUUACAAACUUGGUGCUACAUUAUUUUUUGUUCCAGAUGUUUGCAGUUCUUUAUUUGUAAAGCAAUAUGCGAACACCAAGUGAGGCAUAAAGGUCACUGAAAUUGUUGGAGUGCAAGCAAUGAUCCCUGACUGCAUGUGACAAGCUCUGAAAGCCAGAAAGGAAGUGUCAGACUGCAGAGCAGGAAGAAUCAGAAGUGAACGAACAUGCAUCUGAUAACUCAAAAUGUGAUUGAAAUGGUGUGCCCAAUCGACGACAAAGAACCUCUAAAAAAAAAAUUGGCAUUUGAAAAGAAUUUGGAGAACUUCAUCAGAGCAGAACUUGAAUUAAAGUGACAGAUAACAUGCAUCUUUCUGAAGUACUGUGCUAUCAUAUAACUUUUGAUAAAUAUAGGUGUUUGUUUUGGCUUUUGUGAAGUCACAUGACUUUUAAUUCCUCUCUCUUACUGAAGCUGCAAUGAUUAAAAGGUUAUAAUUGAAAGUGGAAGCAAUAAACCUCUCCAUAAAUCUUCUUUAAACUUACAGAUGGAACUAUCCUGAGGUCUUACUUAAUGCAAAAUACUUAAUACAAAAAAUUCCACUAAGGCCUUGAGCCAUAAAAAUUAGGUAUUUUCACACGAUUCCUUUGUAGACACUAAAUCUAAUUAAUUGAUUUAUAGUUCUAGAGCAGCUUCUUACUGGAAAUCUAAAGGAACUCAGAGAGUGAACGAAACUUUACAAAUAACAGCAUUUUCAAGACAGUUUUGUGCAAAGAAUUUAUUCUUUCACAACAAAGGGCCAUAAAGAGCAUCCUUUUCUUUAGUAUGAUAAAUUAUCUUUCUAUAAUAAUAAUAAAAAGAUCACAUUGCUGUGUUCCUUUAAGUUACAUUACUAAGUAAGUGCUAAUUAUUCCCUUUGCCAUUGUCUGAACAUCCUGAGCCAUUUACAACAGAAAUGGAGAAGC